AUUGAACGCUGGCGGAAUGCUUAACACAUGCAAGUCGAGCGGGCUGUAGCAAUACAGCUAGCGGCGGACGGGUGAGGAAUACAUAGGAAUCUGCCUCAGAGUGGGGGAUAGCCCGGGGAAACCCGGAUUAAUACCGCAUGAUGUCGUAAGACCAAAGCAGGGGACCGUAAGGCCUUGCGCUUUGAGAUGAGCCUAUGUCGGAUUAGCUAGUUGGCGGGGUAAAAGCCCACCAAGGCGACGAUCCGUAGCUGGUCUGAGAGGACGAUCAGCCACACCGGAACUGAGACACGGUCCGGACUCCUACGGGAGGCAGCAGUGGGGAAUAUUGGACAAUGGGCGCAAGCCUGAUCCAGCAAUUCCGCGUGUGUGAAGAAGGCC
rnacentral:rRNA from 1 species